GGGGCGGCGCCAUUGUGGUAACCAUGGGAGACCAAGCUCGGGCCGAUGGGCACGGGGCGUGCGGUGGCACGCCAUUACGCGCGACCGAAGAUCAGUGCCGUCAAAUGGAGCUAGCUAUAGCAAAUGUGUUUCUAUCCACAACUCACCGUUGGUGCAAGUGGCAUGUGAUGAAGAAUAUGAAAGAGAAACUGGGAACCAUGUACUCGAAAACAUCUGAAUUCAAAAGAGAAUUUUAACUUCUGGUGAAGGAGAUGAUGACCAUGUAUGUGUGAGAAGUUUGAACACAUGGGCAUUCUCUAUUGCCACUCACUUAAGGUCAUGAUCCAUUUUGGUGUGACACUUAUAUAUACCAGAGCACUAUGUGAUGAAGAGGUGGACUAAGCACGCGAGAGACAUUCUUCCACUCAAGCUGCGGUGCUACCAGCGAGACAAUCAGCAUAUUAUGUCGAAGACAUUCAGACACAGCAUUAUAUACACGAACUCGUGUGAAAGUGUCCGUCUUGGUAAUGUAUCAAUGGAGACUUUCGCCUAUGCGAUGAGAAAGCUGGACGAGCUUAACAAAGAACUUGCACCUAUUGCCGCCACGA